rnacentral:rRNA from 1 species
UAGGGAUUUUAUUGGUAUCAGGGUUAAUCGUGCCAAGAAAAGCGGCAUGGUCAAUAUAACCAGUAGUGUUAACAGUCGGGAGAGGAGUGGCAUUAACACCAUCCUUCAUGAACUUAAUCCACUGUUCACCAUAAACGUGACGAUGAGGGACAUAAAAAGUAAAAAUGUCUACAGUAGAGUCAAUAGCAAGGCCACGACGCAAUGGAGAAAGACGGAGAGCGCCAACGGCGUCCAUCUCGAAGGAGUCG